UGGGGAAUCUCGGACAAUGGGCGCAAGCCUGAUCCAGCCAUGCCGCGUGCAGGAUGAAGGCCUUCGGGUUGUAAACUGCUUUUGUACGGAACGAAAAGACUCCUUCUAAUAAAGGGGGUCCAUGACGGUACCGUAAGAAUAAGCACCGGCUAACUACGUGCCAGCAGCCGCGGUAAUACGUAGGGUGCGAGCGUUAAUCGGAAUUACUGGGCGUAAAGCGUGCGCAGGCGGUUAUAUAAGACAGAUGUGAAAUCCCCGGGCUCAACCUGGGAACUGCAUUUGUGACUGUAUAGCUAGAGUACGGCAGAGGGGGAUUGAAUUCCGCGUGUAGCAGUGAAAUGCGUAGAUAUGCGGAGGAACACCGAUAGCGAAGGCAAUCCCCUGGGCCUGUACUGACGCUCAUGCACGAGAGCGUGGGGAGCAAACA
rnacentral:rRNA from 1 species